GUUACUGAAGACACCCUAAAACAUCAUUAAAGGAGCCCUAAGGCCCAAGGAUUGGAAGCAAUCGAUGGUGAGUUGUGUGAAGCGGAGGGCGUCGUUGAACGUGGAGGCCUUCAGGAGGCAAUCGUCAAGGGGUUUGGAUGCCUAAGGAUCGAAGAGUGGCCCUUGAUUCCUUCAUUGAGUGAAGCACCUCAUUUGUAGUGGAAGCAAAGAGUUUGUCACCAUCAAAAGGGAGAUCCUCUAUGGUGCUUUGAACCUCACGAGGAAAGAGGGAAGAAGAGAGCCAUGAACCUCGGGGCAUGACCACCGCCGUAGCGGUGGACUUGCUGCGGUAUUGGCUGCAUCCAGAGCUGCUUGAAGAGCCGUGCGUGAUAUGAUUUGGC